rnacentral:tRNA from 1 species
CCAUAGCUCAGCUGGGAGAGCGCCUGCUUUGCAAGCAGGAGGUCGGCGGUUCGAUCCCGCCUGGCUCCACCA